GCGAUGUAGACGAUGGCCAGCGUCCAUGCUGUUAUCAGCAGCGCGACAGCGCCGUAGACGGCCGCCCGCCUACGGCUCAGACCCUGUCGCGCCGCC
rnacentral:tRNA from 1 species